rnacentral:rRNA from 1 species
GAUGAACGCUGGCGGCGUGCCUAAUACAUGCAAGUCGAACGGGGAGUAGCAAUACUCUUAGUGGCGAACGGGUGAGUAACGCGUUGGUACCUGCCCCGAAGCGGGGGAUAACGGACCGAAAGGUCCGCUAAUACCCCAUGUGCUCGGUAACGAGUAAAGGUGAAAACCACUUUGGGAGGGGCCUGCGUCCCAUCAGCUAGUUGGUAAGGUAACGGCUUACCAAGGCGAUGACGGGUAGGGGACCUGAGAGGGUGGCCCCCCACAAUGGAACUGGAACACGGUCCAUACACCUACGGGUGGCAGCAGUAGGGAAUAUUGGUAAUGGGCGCAAGCCUGAACCAGCAACGCCGCGUGUGCGAUGACGGCCUUCGGGUUGUAAAGCACUUUUGACUGGGACGAGGAAGGACGGUACCGGUCGAAUCAGCCUCGGCUAACUACGUG